GCUUAACACAUGCAAGUCGAGGGGUAUAGUUCUUCGGAACUAGAGACCGGCGCACGGGUGCGUAACGCGUAUGCAAUCUACCUUAUACAGGGGGAUAGCCCAGAGAAAUUUGGAUUAAUGCCCCAUAGUAUUACGAAACGGCAUCGUUUUGUGAUUAAAGUUCCAACGGUAUAAGAUGAGCAUGCGUCCCAUUAGUUAGUUGGUAAGGUAACGGCUUACCAAGGCGAUGAUGGGUAGGGGUCCUGAGAGGGAGAUCCCCCACACUGGUACUGAGACACGGACCAGACUCCUACGGGAGGCAGCAGUGAGGAAUAUUGGUCAAUGGGCGCAAGCCUGAACCAGCCAUGCCGCGUGCAGGAAGAAUCAUCUAUGGUGUGUAAACUGCUUUUAUACAGGAAGAAACCUCCCUACGAGUAGGGACUUGACGGUACUGUAGGAAUAAGGAUCGGCUAACUCCGUGCCAGCAGCCGCGGUAAUAC
rnacentral:rRNA from 1 species